AGCAGCAACAUCACAUGGGAGCUCCUGUAGACCGAUACUGUGUCAUGGCUAAGAGGUUAGUAGCAGCAACAUCAGGCUGGGGGCUCCUGUAGACCGAUACUGUGUCAUGGCUAAGAGGUUAGUAGCAGCAACAUCCACUGGGAGCUCCUGUAGACCGAUACUGUGUCAUGGCUAAGAGGUUAGUAGGAGCAGCAGCAGCAACAUCAGGCUGGCAACAUCAAGCUGGGGCUCUGGUCGACAGAUACUGUGUCAUGGCUAAGAGGUUAGUAGCAGCAGGCUGGGGGCUCCGGAGGACAGAUACUGUGUCAUGGCUGAGAGGUUAGUAGCAGCAGGCUGGGGGCUCCGGAGGACAGAUACUGUGUCAUGGCUAAGAGGUUAGUAGCAGCAGGCUGGGGGCUCCGGAGGACAGAUACUGUGUCAAUGGCUGAGAGGUUAGUAGCAGCAGGCUGGGGGCUCCGGAGGACAGAUACUGUGUCAUGGCUAAGAGGUGAACAGACGAGUGUUUCACAUAGCAGCAGUUGUAGAUGC